ensembl:misc_RNA Y_RNA Y RNA
UGCUAGUCUGAUGGUAGUGGGUUAUCAGAACUUAUUAACAUUAGUGUCACUAAAGUUGAUAUGCAACCUCCCUGCUGCUAAAUUUGGCUGGCUUUAA